rnacentral:rRNA from 1 species
GCGACCCCAGGUCAGGCGGGACUACCCGCUGAGUUUAAGCAUAUAAAUAAGCGGAGGAGAAGAAACUUACAAGGAUUCCCCUAGUAACGGCGAGCGAA